GGGUGCUUUUGGCUAUCAACCGAAAGCAUAACGCAAGUUUUGUAGACGGUAGAUAAACAAAAACCCCGAAAGUUUAAUUUUCAUUAACUAACGAGGUUUAAGUGAUGUACCUAGACAAUACGGAUCUUAGCCUCUAUUUUGAUAAGGGGCAAGUAAAAUGCUAAAA
rnacentral:antisense_RNA from 1 species